GACGAACGCUGGCGGCGUGCUUAACACAUGCAAGUCGAACGGAAAGGCCCUGCUUUUGCGGGGUGCUCGAGUGGCGAACGGGUGAGUAACACGUGAGUAACCUGCCCUUGACUUUGGGAUAACUUCAGGAAACUGGGGCUAAUACAGGAUAGGAGCUCCUGCUGCAUGGGGGGGGUUGGAAAGUUUCGGCGGUUGGGGAUGGACUCGCGGCUUAUCAGCUUGUUGGUGGGGUAGUGGCUUACCAAGGCUUUGACGGGUAGCCGGCCUGAGAGGGUGACCGGCCACAUUGGGACUGAGAUACGGCCCAGACGCCUACGGGAGGCAGCAGUGGGGAAUAUUGCACAAUGGGCGGAAGCCUGAUGCAGCAACGCCGCGUGCGGGAUGACGGCCUUCGGGUUGUAAACCGCUUUCGCCUGUGACGAAGCGUGAGUGACGGUAAUGGGUAAAGAAGCACCGGCUAACUACGUG
rnacentral:rRNA from 1 species